UACGAAGGGGGCUAGCGUUGUUCGGAAUUACUGGGCGUAAAGCGCGCGCAGGCGGUCUUCCAAGUCAGUGGUGAAAGCCCGGAGCUCAACUCCGGAACUGCCAUUGAAACUGUUGGACUUGAGUACGAGAGAGGUGAGUGGAAUUCCCAGUGUAGAGGUGAAAUUCGUAGAUAUUGGGAAGAACACCGGUGGCGAAGGCGGCUCACUGGCUCGUAACUGACGCGCAGGCGCGACAGCGUGGGGAUCAAACAGG
rnacentral:rRNA from 1 species